rnacentral:rRNA from 1 species
GGCUCUCGCAUCGAUGAAGAACGUAGCGAAAUGCGGAUACUUGGUGUGAAUUGCAGAAUCCCGUGAACCAUCGAGUCUUUGAACGCAAGUUGCGCCCUAAGCCUUCUGGCCGAGGGCACGUCUGCCUGGG